AGUGGGAUAGCUGGGUCAAAUGGUGGUUCCAUUCCGAGUUUUCUGGAGGAAUCUCGAUACUGCUUUCCAGAGUGGUUGCACCAAUUUGCAGUCCCACCAGCCAU
rnacentral:pre_miRNA from 1 species